UUUUAAAAAUGGCCGCGCCCAUGUCAAUCAGGUUUUUAGUGAAAUUGAAUCAAGAGUUAUCUUGGAGUCAUGUUAAAAGAAUUCUCCUUUACCAAAAGUGUAAUGUCAGAUUGUUUGGUACAAGACAUAAGAGAGAAGAGUACAACAAAUAUACAUCGAACUUCCCAAACUUUCACCCAGAUGAGAGAAGGGUUUGUUUCACACCUGGUAUGUACAUGAAUAUUCUUACAAAUGUGCCGAUAUGUGAUAACUUUGUCAACCAAGAUUCUUAGUUGACGGCAUUAUGUUUCACUUGCCUAUAAUAAAAGUGUUAAAAUUAUUUGUUUUUUUCACCUGCCCCAUGUAAAAAAAAUUGUCAAUAAAAGUAUUAGUCAUUUCAUUUUUAAUGUAAAACUGUUAUAAGUUUGCUUGGAAAAUUUGCUGCAAAUUUAAAUGAGAUUGUCUUAAGAAUACUACAUAUUGAAAAUUUGGUCAAAUGUAAGAACAUAGCAUGCAACAUAGUCCACAGUAUAGCUAUAUGUCUUGUUUCGAUGAUGAACAAUUUACUGCAUGAAUAUUCAUGCUAGAUGGAGAUUUACUGACAAAAAAAAACAUAUUUCUAAGGAGAAUCUUAGGAGAAAUCUUCCUAUUUUUUAUGCAAUUAAUGUAUAAUUUUUUUCUUUUAACCUAUAGAGGAACAACUCAUGAAGGUAACAUUGGAACCAAAUCAACCACACAACGCCAAAACUCUGCGAGUGGCAAUCAUCGGUGAUCCAAAUGUAGGCAAAUCAACUCUCAUCAACAGACUUUUACAGCACAAGGUAAAUCAAGGAAAAGCCAUGAUUAAUGGAUGCUUGGGUAAUAAACACUCAGUGGAAAAUAUGACUUCCUUCUGUUUGUUUUUAUUUGACAGUUAUCUACCCCAGGUAUAUGUUAGACAAACAUAUAGGUUUUGUAAUAAAUCAUUUGUGAAUUAAUAUGUACUGGACAUAACUAAUUGUAUAUUUAACAUUCAUUUCGGUUUCGAUAUGGUUUAUAAGUAGAUAUACUUAAGAUUGACAACUGUUUUUUACAUUAAAUUCAAGUUUAAUUAACAAGCCAGAACUUUUUGUCAUUAUUUUCAGAUCCUCCCAGUCUCAAGAAAGGCCAAUACCACAAGGAAAAACACUCUGUUAAUCCUGACACAGGAUGAAUGCCAGAUAGUAAGAUCACCAGUGCCACAUAGAAUCUCCUAUACAUGAUCAAUAUUGUGUAUAUACAAUUUUAUGCACCUGGAUAUAUGUAAAGCCAAACUAAUUUCUAUAUAUUGCCUUGGAAUCGUUCAUCUGUUUGUUUGUAUGACAUUACCGGUACUUUGCUGGAGCAUAUUUUCUCUUUCUUUAGCCUAUUCUGGCCCAUACUUAACCUACAAGAGUGCCUUUAGGUAGAUUGUGUGCAUUGUCCUUGAACCAAGAUUCUAGAUCAAAGGUCAAGGUCUUAACAGACCUGAGAAAAAAACCUGGUUUUGACCAUGUUCUCUCCUCUUAACCUUAUAUGGCUCAUACUUUUCAUAUAGAGUGCUUUUUGGAUAAAAGGUUAACAGUGAUCUUGAACAAUGUUUCUAGGUCAAAUAUAAAGGUCAUACAGAUCUUUUUGAAUUUCAGUGAAGUAAAGUGAUAUGUUUAUAAUAUUUUUAUAGACAUUUGUGGACACUCCAGGAAUUCUAGCACCUGAAGCAAAGGCAAGGUAAAUCUUAUUAACUGUCCAACAAAAAUAAUCAUGAUAAUACAUGUGCAUAUCAUCGGGGCGAGUUUGAAAUAAAUGUGAUUGUUAAUGGUAGAACUACAUGUGUGCUAAGUUUGCAUGUUCAAGGCAGUUAAGAGAAUAUUUUCUGCAAUAAUUCAUUCAAACUAAUAAGAAUUUCUUUCUGUAUGUAUUUAUGUGAUGUGUCCUUUUCAGGCACCGCGUCCCAUCCACAGUUGCAGUGGACCCUGAAAAGGCUGCCAGUGAAGUUGACCUGUGUAUGUAUUACCUUUAAUAUAUGUGUACAUACUGUACUAAAUUUUAAACAAGAAAUCAUAUUGACGCAAGCGUCAAAUGGGCCGCAAAAAUAUGAUUAAUUGUUGUAUGAAUCAUCAUUGGUUGUUUACAU
rnacentral:misc_RNA from 1 species